CUACAACUUUCACUGUUAUUUAUGUCCUUUUGCUUUUUGUUUUAGCAUGGACCUGCUUACUUUGAAACUACCGGAUUGCAGUUCAGCUGUGCAUCAGUUCCGCAUCUUCUCCCUGGGCCCAGUGAGGCUGACUCUUCUGUUCAAAGAGGAAACCACUGACCAAGAAGGGACUAAGGUGGUUUCCAGAAGGCGGAUGGAAGGAGGCCUCUCUCUUCCCAGGCCAGGCAGUGACGCAUAGAUCGAAGCAAAGAAACAAAACCAUCCUGAAGGUAAAACAUGUCCUGCUCUUGGCCUCUCUUUCCCCAUUUGGAAAUUCUUUUGU
rnacentral:lncRNA from 1 species